GACUGGAUUUCUCUUUUUAGCUUAGAUGAGCCAACAAAAGUUGUGGCAAUUGGACGGCUUCAAUCCCUUGAUCCUUCUACAAUAGUUGGAGGCCAACCACUAGGUUCGAAUUGGUGUGAAGUGCUAGUUCAAGUUGUGGUUGAACGUGAUGAGCAUUUGAUUAGGCCUUAUGUGCCUUUGCAGACAAUUGCUGAUUCAAUUGGUGCUCCUAUAGCUUGGCCAACAAAACUAGUAAAAAUUUGCGAAGAUUGAUGUGCUGAAAUUCAAAAGUGGACAAGGUGUUGCAGCAUAUGGAUACUUAUCCACUUAUAUGGAAGUGCUCUAACUGUAAAAGGACAAAGUGUUGCUGCACAUAUUACAAGAAGUUGGUCUACUAGCGGUUUAGUUGAUUUUAAUUUAUCUGGUGCUAUUUAGGUGAAAUCGUGGCAAACAAUUAGUAGGACAUUCUAGCUGUUUGAUGAAUGUUAAAACAAAUAUUAUGUUUUUUUUUUUGCAAGGAUGAAAGUUUAAUUGGUUGGUUGGAAAACUACUAGGAGUUAUAAGUACUUUAAUUGUAAUCAUUGGUUAUGGUGACAAUUUGAAAGUGGAUUUUCAAUCAAAUAUUGCUGGUUUUGGUCA